rnacentral:lncRNA from 1 species
GGCCAUUAAAAACGAUGAUCUGGAGGGGCAGACAUAAUUACCCGGAGGGCCGGAUCCGGCCCCCGGGCCCUGACUUUUGCACGUGCUCUACAGACAGAAGACUCACCCACACGCCCGUUCUCCCCCAGCGCCCGUCUCCUGAGGCGCCUCGUCGACAUUCCCUUCCGGGACUCCUCCCUCUACCUCCUCUGAGAGAAGGCGGGGCGUGUCUGCUGGGGAGGGGGCGACUGCAGGACCCCCAGUUUGAGCUGCUGAGCCGUCCUUCCUGAGCUGGUAUGAAAACAGAGGAAAUGAGCCAAUGGUUCUCAGCUAGACCCGGGGAGGUGGGGGGUUGGGGGGCACCUUGGGGUGUCUUUUGUUCCACGGCAUUGGAGCCUUCUUCACCAGAACCGCCACGAAGAAUCCUCCGGUGUUCUGGUGAUGAGGAAGAAUCCUCAUGCUGACAUGAAACACAAACAGAAAACAUUCCUUCAAGGUGCAUGCUGGACAUCUUCUCUGGAUCUUUGGGGGGGAACAUCGUGGGCCGGAUCUGUGUGUGCCGGCAUUUGGGAACCUCGGUCCAGUCGCUGUACCACUGGCCCUCCUUGGUCAUCAGCUGGAGAAGAGAGUGCAUACUUAAUCCGUGGUUCCGCCUACCCCGGCAAUGAUAGAGGUCCGAGUCCUCGGGCUGCAGUACCUUCCAAGAAGUGACUCCAGGCAUGUACCUGAGUCCUGGCAGGUCCGCUGAGGCGUCGUCCAGCUCCAACGCUCCUGCAGAGAAGCAAUGGACGUGUCAAUGCUUCCCACGACCUCUACUGCUGCAGUCGCACCAAAAUUCACCGACAUGCACCACUAAUACAAAUUCAGUCUGAGGAGAACUGAGGAGGUCCAAACAAAUACCCAGAGAAUUAACAAAAGGGGACGCAAUGUUUUGGAAAACCAUGACAACAAAAUAACCGAUGGAGAGGAAUCACAACGGGAUAGGAGUCUCAUUUUAACAGAGAGACUGGGAGGUGUUUAGUGUGUGCUAAAGUGGGGCUAGCAAGUAGCAUGCUACUUUGAUUUAUCGUCAUUGUAUGAACUAUAUUUAUUAAUGUUUUAGGGCAUAUGUAUCAAAGUCAAGGCACGAGGGCAAUUCUAUCCGGCCCUCCAAAUCAUUUCAUUUUAUUGUCAUUAAAAGCCCGAUGUUAUCUUGCGCUCAUUUCUAACUUGUAUAAUUUUGACAAAAUAUAUUUUUAUGGAGAGUAAAAUAUUGAAAGUUAUUUAAAGGUUAAGUG